ACGAACGCUGGCGGCGUGCUUAACACAUGCAAGUCGAACGGAAAGGCCCUGCUUUUGUGGGGUGCUCGCGUGGCGAACGGGUGAGUAACACGUGAGUAACCUGCCCUUGACUUUGGGAUAACUUCAGGAAACUGGGGCUAAUACCGGAUAGGGGCUCCUGCUGCAUGGUGGGGGUUGGAAAGUUUCGGCGGUUGGGGAUGGACUCGCGGCUUAUCAGCUUGUUGGUGGGGUAGUGGCUUACCAAGGCUUUGACGGGUAGCCGGCCUGAGAGGGUGACCGGCCACAUUGGGACUGAGAUACGGCCCAGACUCCUACGGGAGGCAGCAGUGGGGAAUAUUGCACAAUGGGCGGAAGCCUGAUGCAGCAACGCCGCGUGCGGGAUGACGGCCUUCGGGUUGUAAACCGCUUUCGCCUGUGACGAAGCGUGAGUGACGGUAAUGGGUAAAGAAGCACCGGCUAACUACGU
rnacentral:rRNA from 1 species